rnacentral:lncRNA from 10 species
UUGCAUUUCAUCCUCAAAACAGCCCUGCAAGGUGUUGCUACAAGGCCACUGAGCUGACUCACCACCCCGGGAGUCAGUGAAGGCUUCCCCGAGGAAGCAGUGUUUGAGCUGAGCCUUGAAACAGAAGUAAGAAGACUCCAGGAGAAGGCUGCAGUAGAGGCUAGAGCUAUUUUUCCUGGCAACAGACCCAGAGAGAAGCUCAACACUUGGAGUAUGAAAGGAGAGUUGGAAAGAAAUCAACUGUGGAAU